rnacentral:rRNA from 1 species
AGUGGCGAACGGGUGAGUAACACGUGAGUAACCUGCCCUUGACUUUGGGAUAACUUCAGGAAACUGGGGCUAAUACCGGAUAGGAGCUCCUGCUGCAUGGUGGGGGUUGGAAAGUUUCGGCGGUUGGGGAUGGACUCGCGGCUUAUCAGCUUGUUGGUGGGGUAGUGGCUUACCAAGGCUUUGACGGGUAGCCGGCCUGAGAGGGUGACCGGCCACAUUGGGACUGAGAUACGGCCCAGACUCCUACGGGAGGCAGCAGUGGGGAAUAUUGCACAAUGGGCGGAAGCCUGAUGCAGCAACGCCGCGUGCGGGAUGACGGCCUUCGGGUUGUAAACCGCUUUCGCCUGUGACGAAGCGUGAGUGACGGUAAUGGGUAAAGAAGCACCGGCUAACUACGUGCCAGCAGCCGCGGUGAUACGUAGGGUGCGAGCGUUGUCCGGAUUUAUUGGGCGUAAAGGGCUCGUAGGUGGUUGAUCGCGUCGGAAGUGUAAUCUUGGGGCUUAACCCUGAGCGUGCUUUCGAUACGGGUUGACUUGAGGAAAGGUAGGGGAGAAUGGAAUUCCUGGUGGAGCGGUGGAAUGCGCAGAUAUCAGGAGGAACACCAGUGGCGAAGGCGGUUCUCUGGGCCUUUCCUGACGCUGAGGAGCGAAAGCGUGGGGAGCGAACAGGCUUAGAUACCCUGGUAGUCCACGCUGUAAACGGUGGGUACUAGGUGUGGGGUCCAUUCCACGGGUUCCGUGCCGUAGCUAACGCUUUAAGUACCCCGCCUGGGGAGUACGGCCGCAAGGCUAAAACUCAAAGGAAUUGACGGGGCCCCGCACAAGCGGCGGAGCAUGCGGAUUAAUUCGAUGCAACGCGUAGAACCUUACCUGGGUUUGACAUGGAUCGGGAGUGCUCAGAGAUGGGUGUGCCUCUUUUGGGGUCGGUUCACAGGUGGUGCAUGGCUGUCGUCAGCUCGUGUCGUGAGAUGUUGGGUUAAGUCCCGCAACGAGCGCAACCCUUGUUCACUGUUGCCA